UUUUUCACACAAAAAUGUGUUAGUGCGUAGAAAUGUGAUCAGCUGAGCACAUGGUCUUAUGGAUUUCAUAAUUUUCGGCGCUUAACGUGAAAACAGUUAAAGCACAGGAUUCACAAACAUUAAAUUUAUGCUUAAAUCUAUAUGCGAUACAUUAUGCAUAUAAUUAUAAUUCACGAUAAUACCACAUAUGGAAGUAACUGGAAUAAAUUUGGACUAUUUCCUUCGGAAGUUUACAUGACUAUCCUGUCAAAAGGCCUCCCUCGUGUUUACAUAUUUUGACAUGUCGAGUUGUUCUGGGACUAGUAACAAUGAUGAAUGAAUACCUGCACCAUGGAAACAAUGUCAUUUGCAAACUUUUUGAACCUGUGCUGGGCGUUCACAUUGACAUUUCUUGUUCAACAGGAAUACAUGAUGUCGACCAACAGUACAGCUAGAUGAAGAUAUAAAUUUAUUCAAAAAAAUAAUGGGACAAUGAAUGCUAAAAUUGCCAAGAAGAAGACUGCCAAUUUACACACCAUUUUAUACAGGUAGGUGCUUAAAAGU